UGAACCUUACUAAACACAUGCUAAGUGCCUGACCUAUUAUUAGGUCAAGGAGUUGAUGAUAUCAACUCAAUAUCAAUGUUAGGUUGUCCCUUAAUGAGGAACAAUUGAAGGGCAAAUCUGGUGCCAGCAGCCACAGUAAUUCCAGCUCCAAUAGUGUAUAUUAAAGUUGUUACUGUUAAAAAGCUUGUAGUUGAACUUCCACUGACUCAUGCAGUCUGCCUCACAGCAAGUACUGUGUGGAUUAGUGUUCCUUGGUGGUGAGCCUUGAUGUCCUUUAUUGGGUGUCUUGGUGAACCACCUCUGUUACCUUGAUAAAAUUAGAGUGUUCAAAGGAGGCAUAUACCUGAAUACAUUAACAUGGAAUAAUAAAAUAGGACAUGUGGUUCUAUUUUGUUGGUUUCUAGAGUUGCCAUAAUGAUUAAUAGGGAUAGUUGG
rnacentral:ncRNA from 1 species